AUUGAACGCUGGCGGCAUGCCUUACACAUGCAAGUCGAACGGUAACAGGUCUUCGGAUGCUGACGAGUGGCGAACGGGUGAGUAAUACAUCGGAACGUGCCUAGUAGUGGGGGAUAACUACUCGAAAGAGUGGCUAAUACCGCAUGAGAUCUACGGAUGAAAGCAGGGGAUCGCAAGACCUUGUGCUACUAGAGCGGCCGAUGGCAGAUUAGGUAGUUGGUGGGAUAAAAGCUUACCAAGCCGACGAUCUGUAGCUGGUCUGAGAGGACGAUCAGCCAGCAUGGGACUGAGACACGGCCCAGACUCAUACGGGAGGCAGCAGUGGGGAAUUUUGGACAAUGGGCGAAAGCCUGAUCCAGCAAUGCCGCGUGCAGGAUGAAGGCCUUCGGGUUGUAAACUGCUUUUGUACGGAACGAAAAGCCCCGGGUUAAUACCCUGGGGUCAUGACGGUACCGUAAGAAUAAGCACCGGCUAACUACGUGCCAGCCGCCGCAGUAA
rnacentral:rRNA from 1 species